AAGUCGUAACAAGGUUUCCGUAGGUGAACCUGCGGAAGGAUCAUUAUCGAAGUAGUACUUCAACCUGUGAACCGUGAGGCUUGCCUCUAUAUAAACCUGUGUAUGUCUAGUAUGAACCUAAAAUAUAACUUUCAACAACGGAUCUCUUGGCUCUC
rnacentral:misc_RNA from 1 species